rnacentral:lncRNA from 1 species
UGGAGAGACUUUCUCUAUAAAAUUAUUUAAACUCGUAUAAUUAAAAUUAUAAAAAGAAACAGGGGCGUAAAGGGGGAAGAACGUGAAAUAAAAUUGUCAAAUCAUGAUUAACGAAUAAUAAAACAAUUCUUGCAUGUUGAUCUUUUUACCAAUUUCACGAAACACGGUGAAUAAUGAAUCUUUGUCUUGGCUGCAGUGAAAUAUAAAAAGUCAAAACGCAUUGCACGAAUACAACACAUUACCACCCUCAACUAAGUUUCUUGAACUGAAUUUUGUAGGUAUGUAAUUUAACAGGUAAAUACAAGUGGGUAGAUUUCAACUGAUGAUUAAUAAGAAAAGGUGUUACUAAACUUUGAGGCUUCGUCUGCACCACGAAUGUUCAUUUUUUUGGUUAGAUACUGUACAUCAAUACACGAACAACUGAUCUUGCUAAGUGUUCCCAACUUGUCCAGAUAUUACAUACGAUACUUCAAUAAUAUAUUCAUUAAAUUAAAAUACUGCUUGAUUCACAAGAAUUAGGGCAAACGAUAGUAUGUAAAAGAGGGG